CUCCAGGAAGCGAUUUGUCCACGUGGAUAGAAAACGCGUCCUCGAGGGCGCGCUUUGUGUCCAUGUGGACAAAGCACUUCCUUGAGG
rfam:Gossypium raimondii Chr02_contig_369, whole genome shotgun sequence.